rnacentral:snRNA from 1 species
GGGCACGAGGGCAAUCUGGCUGCGACAUCUGUCACCCCCUUGAUCAGCUUGAUUCUGGUUGAUUCAGCUGACCUGGCUGGCUAGGCGGGUGUCCCCUUACCCCUCGCCGCUCCAUGUGUGUCCCUCCCAAAGCUGUGUGCUGUGUCACUGAGGACGACCUUCCCCGACUAGAGGAGGAGCGGUCUUUGGUCAAGGGUAUACGGGAAGCUGCACUCCACUGCUAGAACCUCCAAACAAGCUCUCAAAAUACAAUCACUUUUUUUCAAGCCCAGACCAGGGAGGAAGGGAGGGAGGAACAGAGAGAGGAAAGA